rfam:Physcomitrella patens subsp. patens PHYPAscaffold_14 genomic scaffold, whole genome shotgun sequence.
UAAGAGGCUUUUAUAAAAGCCAUGUUUAUAUGGCUUAGAUUAUUAU